ensembl:lncRNA
AGGAGUGAACUCAGACUGUGAAGACACACAGAGCUCGGGUGAGCAAUAACUCUCUGAAUGGGAAAUAAUCUCCUUUAAUAAUCCAUAACCAACUACGGGCAAAUCUUCAAAAUCACAAUCAUGAAUGCUGUAAAUGCUGUGCAGCUGUUCAUUCUGGUUUGGACCUUUACUGCUGUCUGUCAAGCUGAUGAACAUGUCACAGUAAGCUGUGAUAAUGUGACUGGAUUUGUGGGGAAAGAAGUAACUCUCACCUGCAGCGUCUCUCUGCAGAUCACUGAAUGCUGCAUUAUAAUGUAUAAGUUUCAAUACCUUGAUAUCAAUAAUGACUGUCGUGAAGGUGUUCUUGUGAACUCCUGUGAACAGAGAAACAGUUUCACAUGCCGCUACACUCCAACUACAGAAAUGACAAAACAAUUCAGAUUCUUUGUGCAAACAAAUUGUGGAGUGGGAAAAGCUGAAAUCUUCACUCUUGAAGCAGUUUCCUCAGAAUCAUCAGGAUCCUCUCCACCAGAGACAGCAGCAGGAUUCAAGAAUACUGUCUUCACUGUGGUUGUGGUUGGUUUCAGCAUCCUCAUCAUCAUGACGGCGAUCAUUUGCAAAACAAAACCAAACUUCACCAAACUUUGUAGAGGCCAGAACUGGAUGUUUUUGAGAGUCAGACAUGAUGAGGACAACAAUCGUCCAGGAAUUGAGAUAUAAUCGCAUUGAGUUUUGUUUGACUUUUCAUGUGGUGCUCAUGAAACACACAAGCUUUAUUUGAGCUCCAUUAAACUCUACACUAUCUUAUAUCUCAAACUUUUGAAAAUAUAUCUCUGGCUGUAGGUUUUUAAACAGUUGUUUCUGUUUAAAAUUGAUUUCUGUGAAAUAACAGCAUAUUAUUGAUCUGUUUGAUCAGAGUAUAUGACUUUAAUAAACUCAAACCUUUGUGAACUUUAAGGAAACA